UACACGCUGUGACUAGCAUAUCAAUAAGCGGAGGAAAAGAAACUAACAAGGAUUCCCUCAGUAACGGCGAGUGAAGCGGGAAGAGCUCAAAUUUGAAAUCUUGAAAGGUCACCUUUCACGAAUUGUAGUUUAAAGAAGUGUUUUCUGUUACGAUCGUAAUAUAAGUUCUUUGGAAUAGGACAUCACAGAGGGUGAGAAUCCCGUCUAUGAUUGCGAUUUGUAGCUUUGUGAUACACUUUCAAAGAGUCGGGUUGUUUGGGAAUGCAGCCCAAAACGGGAGGUAAAUUUCUUCUAAGGCUAAAUAUUGGCGAGAGACCGAUAGCGAACAAGUACCGUGAGGGAAAGAUGAAAAGAACUUUGAAAAGAGAGUUAAAUAGUACGUGAAAUUGUCAAAAGGGAAGCGUUUAACACCAGUGUUGUUUUCUGAAAAUCAACCUCUGUUAGCUUUAUGCAUGUUUGUUUAGACCUAAUCAGCUAUCUUGCAUGUUCUAUUGUAUGCAGUGGUGCACUUUUCAGUUUACAGGUCAACAUCAGUUUUUUUUACCGUAAAAAAGUUAAAGAAAGGUAGCUCAUGGCUCCGGUCGUGAGUGUUAUAGUCUUUUUCCUAUGCGGUAGGAGAGACUGAGGUCUGCAGUGUAGGCUAUUUGGCUAGAUACUCAGGUGCUAUGUGAUACCAUUUCAUAAACAACUUGUUGAUUAUGUUUUGUCUAUUGCAUACUCGCUUGUACUAUCAUACCUACGCUUAGGAUGUUGACGCAUGAGAUAUACGC
rnacentral:rRNA from 1 species